GCCUGGUUGGGCAAGUAGCGGGAGGCUUGCUGCCUCCAUCUUGAAUCCUCCAUAUUAGUUUCUAAUUUAAAUUUAGCGAGUUAUGGCUGACAGAAGUUGAAAUAAAAAGUUUCGCUCAGGAGUUGGAGCAGAACACUUGCCGUUUUCGGAUCAUUGUGGAUAUACCGUGUGUUUUGGACCAAAACGCUUUAUUUCAUUACAAUACAGAGGAUCGUAAGGGACAAAAUGAGACCACACACGGCGUGAAUGUGCGACGUUUGGAGCUCAGAAGUCAAAAAAUAAAGUUGGGUUUCCACCGCUGCUUCUUCCUGACAUGGUGACAGGACCUGAUGAGCCGCCUCGUGGGAACCUCUUCCCAGCUCAGGACUUCAGUUAAAGCAACGUAGAUUCAUAGACCGUGAUGUCAUGACAUCAUGACAUGAACAGAAGCUCUGGAGACCUGGACGUUAUGCUGGGAAGGAACCACUGGACACCGACCCUUCAGCCAAGAAGUCAAAUGUGGAUUUGUCGGUUCAGUAUCAGUUUCUGCUGGCAUCACCCAGCUCCUUCAGCUGCUGUGAUGCAGACAGUGUGUGUGGCUGGAGGCGUCAUCAGACGGGAGACGGGACGUUUGCUGCGCUGGACGCCAUGCGACGCCUCCCUGCAAACGCGUCCGUGGGACCUGCUGCUGCUCAGGACCCACUGGACCACAGCUAAUGUUAGCUGUCUGCUCUUUAACCAUCACGCGUGCAGUGUAUUCUGCAGGUUAGUGUCAUCAUCAUCAUCCUUAAUGCUCCCCAUCACUUAUCAGGCAUCCACAAAUACAGCCCAGCAGGUCCAGGGACAUGAGCCGUCAGACUGGAGCGGGUGAGUCCAGUAAACACGUCGAACGCUGGCGGGACACAGCUCCACGUCCAAGCUCGAUUCUGAGUCAUAGCUUUAAAAAAUAAAUAACAAUAAACGAAAAAUUCAAACAAUUUACACUUCUGAUUAUGAUGUGUCCAGCAGGAUUUCCUCUCUCCUCCUACUUCUUGUGUGCACAUGCUCCAAUAACAGAAGACUGCAGGGAUCCACGGUGUGAUCCCUGUUUUACCCCCGUAAGCCUUGGUGUCAUCCAUGGUCGUAUCAAACAAGCUCCUCAGAUUAAUAACAACUGUCACUGGGACCAGAUCUUGGGAUUUAUGGGACGGAGCUGGAGCAGAGAUCUCGCCUGUGGGCAGCAGUGCACUGGGAGCGCUGCCAUUACUUUGAAGUCGAUCUUGCACAUAGAUUAGCCGUGGACAAAGAGCAGCGAGCGGCAGCAACACGUCCCACCGCUGCCUCAGUUGUGACAGGCAGAUUUCUACUGUGAUUAAUCACUGCCUGUUAGCUGCCUGAGUGGCCUGACAGACAGGCUCCCUGUGCUGCUCUGGCUAGAUUCUAUCUGAGCCACGCGCUCCCUCAGAGACGCUGAGUCUCAUGUUCCAGAUUAAAUAUGUUUUAGAACGACGUCUAAGACACAAAUAAAAAUAACCCAAGUUGAAGAGCGAGACAGAUGUUUAGUCACAGCAGCCUCUGCACAGGGAUCCUCACGGUGGCCAUGAACUGUUCCAGCUCCACUUCCAUCCAUUCAGAGCAAAACCCUGAAACAUUUGGUGAAGUCGGGUUCCAGCUAUGAGGGUUUAGCUUCCAGAGCCGCGUGUGUGAGCCAAGUCAUGGCAGGAAUCUGAAACGCCUCGUGUCGUCUGGCAGAGCAACGGCAACAAAUGACAGAAAUAUACUGUGUCCCAGCUCUGACUGGAUGCUCCCAGCACGUUUCACUCCAACGGGCAAAUAAAAGUAUUUUUGUGCAAAUGUAAUUUCAGGGGAUUCUACGAUCGCCAUGAAACCUUCCAGUAAACUAUAAACAGCAGAUGGAUGAAGGAAGAUUUGACUUGCCAGCAAAGCUAAACCACUAUGAGCAUCGACGUCUUCGCUUUGAGAAGCUACUGCAUCGAAGUCUUUUCAAAGAGUAAAAUAGCAGAUGUGUGAUGAUUGUCCUGCCAUUAGUCGGGCAAAGCCACCGCUAAAUUAUUCCUUAGAAAAUCAAGCUAAAUUAUUAAGUGCAUACAUAAUAUAUUGGAAAACAUCCAGUCUUCAGCAGUGAGUGUGGUCAGACAGGAGCAUCCAUCUCAUCAGAAUGAAUAACCUGACUAAACAGCAUGCAACAUUUAACAAAAGCCCAGCUUCCAUAUCAGCGCAGCACGGAAGAGUGUCCGCUGCUCGGAUCAAUAAUCACAUCCACCCAAAUGGAAAAUUCACCCAUGUCAUAUUCAGACAGGGCUUCAGACGGCCUCGAAUAACUUGUCAUUUCAAUUUAAUCUCAUUCUGAAAAUUCAAAGACAAUUAUUCUCAUGGUGAACGGGGAGCAUGCAUUUUGCAUAGCACACAGACAUCAGAUGUUCGAGUCAACCAAACGGCAAAGGAAGGAACACAACACAACUAUGUCUAUACACGUCUGUUGUGUGGGAGAAGGAAGCCUCUCGCUUCCACUAAAACAAGUCAAAAGGUGUAUUUAUAGUCAGGCCUCAAUGAGUUUAGCGUCAAUUUAAAACCAGUUUAAAAAUCUAGAAAUAGAAAGAAAUCUGCUUUUAAAGCUGAGAUACAUGUUUUUUUAUUUUGGCAAAAAAAAAGUUGCAACUUGACACUGUAGUGGGGAAAAAAUUACUAGCAGUAAUAGGAAAAACUGCACGGAACCUAAAAGCCAACCGGUCUUACAGCCUGAACAACGCUCAAGCAUUAGCUCGCGAGCGCCCCUUCGCCAGCAGGUGGCCGGUGGUAUUGCACCCGCUGCCACCAGCUGUCCUGGUUACAUUGGUACUAAAAUGACAUAACACCUAUUUAAGUAUUUAAGCCCAAAAACAAUUGGGCUGAGUUAAUUUUACUUAUAUUUAGGUUUUCCUUCCCCUCUUCAAAUGUUAAUCCUAAAAGAUCAUCUGUACCGUAUUGCUAUGUUAUCUGUAAAUCUAUGUUUAAAAACAUUCAUAAUUGAAAUACAGAUACAUAUAAGAAGAACAUAAUUUAGAUGUUAAUGCAUAGCUUUUUGUACUUGUGGUUCAGGAGGCAAAUUUUUCAAGUUCAUGCGUUUUCACAAAAACAUGAUUUUUUCAUAUCCAGAGUGCUGUAGGUUUAAACAGCACUGACACGAUGCCAUGUUGGAGAUGCACAGUUUGAGGAUAACUUUAUUUCCAGCAGCUGUAGCAGAUUUACUACAGACAAACUGUGUUUCACCACCUCUCCAUCAUCCUGCACGUUUCCUAGUUGUGUUUAUGAGUAAUGAUAGUGGAAAGAACCUUGAUGCAUGCUGUCAAAGUGACACCCAGUAAAUCAUAGUUGACCUUUAUGUUUACCUGUGUUUUAGCUGAAGCUUUUAGUGAAGUAAUAUAGCCCACGGAGUGGAGGCUUGAUUGAUGCCACUGAAACAGUCGGUACUGACACAAAAAGCUGCCGUGGAACACGACGCCGGAGGCUCCUGGAAGCUGUCCAAGCAACCGGCCCAUUCAUUUAAGGAAAAGAAAGAAUUAAUUGCUCUUCAUCUUCCCUCAGCUUUGUUUGUUUUAUGGCUUAAUUCUUUACCUUUACGGCCUUGUGUGUUUUUCACACAGCCAUUAGUAGUUUGCUUCGCUGCUACGGACGUGAAAGCGCACGUCUUCGUGUUCUUCUGAGAGACAGAUGCAUUUAAAUGAUUCUAUCAGUAAUACAAGCAGCCGUCCUGGUCAAGGUGAUGGGUUUACUCAGCUGAUCAAUUAAUAGUCCAACACUGACUUUAUUUACCGUAUUCACAGACCCGCGGAACAAACACAUGUCCCCUGUACACGGAUGUGUUUGUGUCCGUUCCCCUUCAUUACCCCAAAAGCUGCUGCAGGGAGGAAUCAUUUCAUGCGUCCCAACUCGGAGGAGGACAUUCAAAGAAAGAUGCCUCCAAGGGAAAUGUUUGAAAUCCACUAAAACACACUACGAUACAUUAGCCGAUAGCCCUCAGCACACAGGCCGCUCCGUGCGGUGGGCUGCUACUGCCCCCUGUUGGUCCCAGCUGGGAUCCACACUCUUCCUGCAAAGCUCACACGAAAGCUUCAUCAACAGCAGGACAUCUGAAGAACGCUGCAGGCCGGCCACCGAACGCCAGCGCUAUUAAGUGAUUAACCAAGGGAGCGUCUCAGAGGGGUUUCAGAGGGGUUGCCAGGUCCUGUCACACACUCACACCAGCGGCUCUGCGGGACUGUGUGUCAUCACACGACUUGCUCUUUGAAGUCAGCCCUCUGUCGGUAACUGUUUGAUUCACUGGGCCUUUCUCCAGCUCCUAUUGAUUCAUUAAUCAUUUCACCAAUGAACUAACAGAUACUGACCUGCUCACAGUCCCUGAGCUGCUCCAGCCCUUCAACCCCCAAACCAGUUGAAUUGAUCAUUUAAUGGAACAUCAAGGCCACACAGAUUAUAUGUCAGCAUUUUGUUCUGCAUGCCGCCCAUAUGCACAAAGGUCAAUAUACUGACCUUCCCUGAGAAGUGUGUACACAACAACCAAUGGGAAUGAAUGCCUCCGUCACCACGUUUAACACCUAUUUAGACUGGAUGCUGAUGAGCGGCGCGCGGCUGCCAAGGCCCCUGCCCCUGCACUGAACUCUGUGCCUGGUUAAUGAAACAAGUGUUAUGCUUCAGUCUCGUGUGCACACACACACAUCAAUGAUAAACACAUGGGGCUUCAGAGGCGGAAUUACACAAAAAUCUAGAGGGAAUUAAACAAAUGAGACCGAAGAAAUGGUUCAGUCUUUUUAAAUGAUGUGAGUCGAGUUAAUUAGAGUCUGGUGUUGAAGUCAGUGGAACCUCAGACCUCCUAUUUGAGAAGUGCAUCAUGGCCUCAAGGAGGACUGCUCAAAAAAACAAAAAGAUGCAGUGGAUCAUAGCAAUAAAUGGAUACGGACACCUGCACAUUCUUCUCAGUGUCGUAAUAUAUGUAAUAAACGAGCAGCUACAAGAUCAAAGGUGAACUGUAUGUACAGACUGUGUAGGACUGGAAGGCUGUCAGGUGUCAGCUGGGAUGGAUUCCAGCAGGCUUGCAACCUUCACCAGCAUACGAGGGGCGGUUCUAUGUAAAUAUAGUAUUUUACAUGUGUCUAAAACAGCUGCAUCACUAUGAUUAACAUAAGCAGGAAGCAUUAAAAGCACUGACUGGUUACAAAAGUAUGUGGAUUAAAUGAGAAGCUGGAUUCAAGAGAAAUGAUUUAGCUCACCUUCACUAUCCUGCCAGGUUUGUGGCACUAAGUCAUUUGCAGAGUGAGGAUGUUUGUGACACUUGACGCCCUAACACAGAUGGUGACGUGACAGAUCUGUGGUCGUAGCGACUCUUUGCAUCAGUGUUUUGGACUUUACUGCUAAACAAACUGCAACAAAACCACAAUGCCCCAAACAUGAGUGCACCAGCAUAUAUCAGUAUAUACUGUAUGGCUCAUGCUGCGCUCUAAACGUGACACCAGCGUUCAAAGUAAAUCCUUCAAUUCCACAGUGUCCUAAAAAACCAAAUGGAAACAGGCCAGCUGGAGCUUACUGUAGAGCACAAUGGCUGCUGGGAGGCUUAGAGGUUGCAGCAUUGUCCCCUGAUUACUGCAGGCAUGAACUCAACUGGAUGCACAAGAAAAGAGAAGGGGGGCUUGGAAACAACACAACAAUGCAUCCCCACCCCGGCCGCGGCGCGCCGGCCAGCAUCGCAGCGCGUUGCCUUUCUCAAUGGAUGUCAGUCACUGCGCCGCUAAUGGCAGAUGACAUGGAACAUAAUGCACCAACUAGGUCCCGGGCCAGCACGAGUAAUGGCUCAUAAAUUCAGCAGCCCUGGAGCAGGAACCUGUCAAAACUCAGCAGUGCAUUGUGGGUUAAUGUUCUUCAUACACCUCCCCUCACCCGCAGUCACUGCAGUGGGCCAAUCAGCGUGGGCGGCUGUGGCCCCUCCCCCCCCAUCUCACUGCGUCGCCACUCUCCAUGCAGCCAGCCAUACUAAAAACCAUUUUCUUUUUAAUUAAUCACGCCAAUAGUUUGGAGCAGCUUUGGGCUCCUAGAGUUCAUUCGUGAUGCUUAAGCUCUAAUCGAUGCUGCUGGGUGAGAGCUCAGGGAAUGUCAAUAUUUUCCAAAGUGCAAAAAAAAAAAAAAAGUCCGGGAGGCCCAGGUUGUCCCAAAUAAAGUGUCCCGAGGAUGCAGGCGGCCCAAAAAGCCCCCGACUCCAGCCGGUCUCUGUGGCCGGCACUCUUUUGUUCCUGCCAGCUGGGUUUGGACCAGGACGAGGUCCGUGACCUACAGAGCAGCGGUCCCAAAACACAAGGAUCAUGACACAAUCACCACUUUUUAAUCAAUAUUCAACUAUGUAUAUAAGUAUGAAAAUAGUUUCAUGCCACUAUUAUUUAAUGGUAUUACAUGAUUCCAGGCAUCCAAAGAUCCAAACCUUGACACGUUUCCACACCUAAAUCCAUCUUAACGUAGUGUUUGUGAAAGUAGGAAUGUGUUUAGAAACUCAUGUUGAGCACCAGCUGCUGAUGUUGCGUUUGCAGCAGUUCAGGGUUGGUAAAACGUCGCAUCCCAGAUGUCUGCUAACGCUUCAGAGCCUAAGACGGCGUCCACGUGUAACAAGCUUCACCUUCCUGUGAGGCCGAUGGGCCGAUGUGACGCUACGGUGGCUGCGGUGGAGCCGUUAAUGUUCCUGCACAUCAGUGUGGCAGCAGAGCAGCCGCACAUCGAUUAAAGGAAUCAAGUCACGGCUGCGAUGACGGAGAUUUGUCUUAUUGACUUCACUAUAGCAACAGCUGGGAAAACCCUCGCUGUAUGAGGAGCUCAGUGGUGUUCGGAUCUGACCAGUUCAUUUUCAUGUGCUUCUUCUACGAAUGUUGAGUUUGAUCAGGACUGAGCGCUCCUUGGGGAAAUGUUUGUUUCACUUCUUGUUAUAUGCAUGAAAAUAAAAUUGAAUAUUACUAUUUUUAUUUUAAAUUUGUUAUAUUUGUUUAUUAUAUAUAUAUAUUUAAAAUUAAUGUUUUAAAAUGUUACUCAAGAUUUUUCUGCUGCUGGUUUGACUCCUGAAUAAAUGCAGAGGAACUGUGCAUCACAGGAUUUUAUGUCAGAGAAGAUAUGAACUAUUAAUAGGUGUGAAUGGACAUCCAGCAGAAUACAAAAUGAAUGAUUUUUAUUUUGACGAAACUUCAGUGUGUUGUGAUAAAGUUGUCUACACACAAAGAAUCAUUAGCAGCACAUUCAAGCUUGCAAAACCUUUACUAAAACAUGUACCUGACCUGUACCUACUGUACAGAUCAGCAGCUUUUCCAGCUGCUGAUCUGUACAGUAGGUGCAGGGAAAGAUGGAAACCUGGACCAGUGGUUCUGGACCAGCCCCCCCGACGUAAAGCAGGAA